UACGGAGGGUGCGAGCGUUGUCCGGAAUCACUGGGCGUAAAGGGCGCGUAGGCGGCCUGAUAAGUAGGGGGUGAAAUCCUGCGGCUUAACCGCAGGGCUGCCUUCUAAACUGUCAGGCUAGAGCACAGUAGAGGCAGGUGGAAUUCCCGGUGUAGCGGUGGAAUGCGUAGAGAUCGGGAAGAACAUCAGUGGCGAAGGCGGCCUGCUGGGCUGUUGCUGACGCUGAGGCGCGACAGCGUGGGAGCAAACAGG
rnacentral:rRNA from 1 species